rnacentral:rRNA from 1 species
UACAGAGGGGGCAAGCGUUAUUCGGAAUUAUUGGGCGUAAAGGGCGCGUAGGCGGUUUUCUAAGUCGGAUGUGUAAUCCCCGGGCUCAACCUGGGAACUGCAUCCGAGACUGGGAGGCUAGAGUACUGGAGAGGGUGGUGGAAUUCCAGGUGUAGCGGUGAAAUGCGUAGAGAUCGGGAAGAACAUCGGUGGCGAAAGCGCUCUACUGGACCGCAACUGACACUCAGGGACGAAAGCUAGGGGAGCGAAUGGG